rnacentral:tRNA from 1 species
GGGCGCAUAGCUCAGUUGGUUAGAGCGUCGCGUUGACAUCGCGGAGGCCUCUGGUUCGAGUCCAGAUGCGCCCA